rnacentral:rRNA from 1 species
ACUCCUACGGGAGGCAGCAGUAGGGAAUCUUCCGCAAUGGACGAAAGUCUGACGGAGCAACGCCGCGUGAGUGAUGAAGGUUUUCGGAUCGUAAAGCUCUGUUGUUAGGGAAGAACAAGUCCCGUUCGAAUAGGGCGGUACCUUGACGGUACCUAACCAGAAAGCCACGGCUAACUACGUGCCAGCAGCCGCGGUAAUACGUAGGUGGCAAGCGUUGUCCGGAAUUAUUGGGCGUAAAGGGCUCGCAGGCGGUUCCUUAAGUCUGAUGUGAAAGCCCCCGGCUCAACCGGGGAGGGUCAUUGGAAACUGGGGAACUUGAGUGCAGAAGAGGAGAGUGGAAUUCCACGUGUAGCGGUGAAAUGCGUAGAGAUGUGGAGGAACACCAGUGGCGAAGGCGACUCUCUGGUCUGUAACUGACGCUGAGGAGCGAAAGCGUGGGGAGCGAACAGGAUUAGAUACCCUGGUAGUCCACGCCGUAAACGAUGAGUGCUAAGUGUUAGGGGGUUUCCGCCCCUUAGUG